rnacentral:rRNA from 1 species
UACGAAGGGGGCUAGCGUUGUUCGGAUUUACUGGGCGUAAAGCGCACGUAGGCGGAUUCUUAAGUCAGGGGUGAAAUCCUGGAGCUCAACUCCAGAACUGCCUUUGAUACUGAGGAUCUUGAGUUCGGGAGAGGUGAGUGGAACUGCGAGUGUAGAGGUGAAAUUCGUAGAUAUUCGCAAGAACACCAGUGGCGAAGGCGGCUCACUGGCCCGAUACUGACGCUGAGGCACGAAAGCGUGGGGAGCAAACAGG